AACGUAGGAGACAAACGUUAUCCGGAGUUACUGGGCGUAAAGGGCGUGUAGGUGGUAUCGUAAGUCUGGCGUGAAAUUUCUCGGCUUAACCGAGGCAGGUCGUCGGAUACUGCGAGGCUAGAGGACGGUAGAGGCGUGUGGAAUUCCGGGUGUAGUGGUGAAAUGCGUAGAGAUCCGGAGGAACACCAGUGGCGAAGGCGACUCGCUGGACAGUAUGACGCUGAGGUGCGAAAGCGUGGGGAGCAAACAGG
rnacentral:rRNA from 1 species